rnacentral:snRNA from 1 species
GGAUGUGAGGGCGAUCUGGCUGCGACAUCUGUCACCCCAUUGAUCGCCAGGGUUGAUUCAGCUGAUCUGGCUGGCUAGGCGGGUGUCCCCUUCCUCCCUCACCGCUCCAUGUGCGUCCCUCCCGAAGCUGCGCGCUCGGUCGAAGAGGACGACCAUCCCCGAUAGAGGAGGACCGUUCUUCAGUCAAGGGUAUACGAGUAGCUGCGCUCCCCUGCUAGAACCUCCAAACAAGCUCUCAAGGUCCAUUUACUACAUAGAUCAGUUUUACCUUAUUUUGUAAAGCUGGAGUCAUGCAUCACAUAUAUGCAUCAUAUACAGUAUUUAGGUUCUUGGAUUUAACAUU